rnacentral:lncRNA from 1 species
CUUGAUAAGAAAGAUGAAGUAUUAGUUAGACCUGAUCUACAAUAGACUAUAGAUUAUUUUAUCCUUUUUCCUCUAUAUUUUCUUCUUAACACACGUCUUAUCUAGGGAUGGCAAAAAGGUCUGCCAAGUGAGGGCCAGGCCCGGUCCCGGCCCAAUUGGGUCGGGGAUUCCCCAUUUUUAAUGGGGUUGGGUUGGGAAUGGGGGAAAAUAAUCUCCGACCGGGCUUGGACCAGAGAUGGGAUGAUGCUUUUCCCGACCCAUCCCUAGCCCAUCUGAUUUUUUAUUUUAUUAUAUAUAAAAAUAAGAUGUAAAUACUAAAAAUGGGC